rnacentral:rRNA from 1 species
UCAGACGAUGCGUCAUGCAUAUCAAUAAGCGGAGGAAAAGAAACUAACAAGGAUUCCCUCAGUAACGGCGAGUGAAGCGGGAAGAGCUCAAAUUUGAAAUCUUGAAAGGUCACCUUUCACGAAUUGUAGUUUAAAGAAGUGUUUUCUGUUACGAUCGUAAUAUAAGUUCUUUGGAAUAGGACAUCACAGAGGGUGAGAAUCCCGUCUAUGAUUGCGAUUUGUAGCUUUGUGAUACACUUUCAAAGAGUCGGGUUGUUUGGGAAUGCAGCCCAAAACGGGAGGUAAAUUUCUUCUAAGGCUAAAUAUUGGCGAGAGACCGAUAGCGAACAAGUACCGUGAGGGAAAGAUGAAAAGAACUUUGAAAAGAGAGUUAAAUAGUACGUGAAAUUGUCAAAAGGGAAGCGUUUAACACCAGUGUUGUUUUCUGAAAAUCAACCUCUGUUAGCUUUAUGCAUGUUUGUUUAGACCUAAUCAGCUAUCUUGCAUGUUCUAUUGUUUGCAGUGGUGCACUUUUCAGUUUACAGGUCAACAUCAGUUUUUUUUACCGUAAAAAAGUUAAAGAAAGGUAGCUCAUGGCUCCGGUCGUGAGUGUUAUAGUCUUUUUCCUAUGCGGUAGGAGAGACUGAGGUCUGCAGUGUAGGCUAUUUGGCUAGAUACUCAGGUGCUAUGUGAUACCAUUUCAUAAACAACUUGUCGAUUAUGUUUUGUCUAUUGCAUACUCGCUUGUACUAUCAUACCUACGCUUAGGAUGUUGAAGACUCUACAGAGAUA